UACGUAGGGUCCAAGCGUUAUCCGGAAUCACUGGGCGUAAAGCGUGCGUAGGUGGCGUGUUAAGUGUGAUGUUAAAUCGUGUGGCUCAACCAUAUCGAUGUGUCGCAUACUGGCAUGCUAGAGGGAAGCAGAGGCAAGUGGAAUUUGUAGUGUAGCAGCGAAAUGCGUAGAUAUUACAAGGAACACCAAUGGCGAAGGCAGCUUGCUGGGCUUCUUCUGACACUGAGGUACGAAAGCGUGGGGAGCGAACAGG
rnacentral:rRNA from 1 species